rnacentral:rRNA from 1 species
UACGUAGGGACCAAGCGUUGUUCGGAUUUACUGGGCGUAAAGAGCGUGUAGGCGGCCACUUAAGUCCUGCGUGAAAUCUUGCGGCUCAACCGCAAGCGGUCGUGGGAAACUGGGUGGCUAGAGUUCGGCAGGGGAGACUGGAAUUCCUGGUGUAGCGGUGAAAUGCGCAGAUAUCAGGAGGAACACCGGUGGCGAAGGCGGGGUCUCUGGGCCGAUACUGACGCUGAGGAGCGAAAGCGUGGGGAGCGAACAGG